UUGAUUUAUUCGGUUGAGUACCGGGACGAAUUAGAAUAAAUCUGCUUUAUCAUUGAUAUGUAAAUGAGACGCGGUAGAGUGGUUAAGGGCGCGUAAUUUGAAUAGGGAGUGGCACAGGAAUGUGUGCGUGGUUGGAUUGAAGGUAGAUCACUUCACGCUUGCGAGCAGCAACGACAACACACAAUUUUUGUGGCGCUGUACUUCCAUUGCGUUAUAUCAGCAAAUGGGAGAGAUGGCAGUUUUGCUCUCCUAAAGUCAAUUCGACAUCUCAUUUUAAGAAGCUACAUUACAUUCAAGGCUACUGACAACAGAGCUCGCCCCUGCAUCGGUAUCAAUCAAGACAAGACAGUUGUCAAUAGCAGAUGGACCGAAGAUCGGAAAGCAGAAAGCAGAAAGCCAGUUUACGAAGCUAAGUUAAAUUACAGUCUUUUUAAUUUGCAAAAAUGUAGUUGCAGAUGUUGAAAUUCACAGAUGAUUUUUUUGAGAACGGAGAGAUUUCUGGUUCCGAACGAAGAGUGUUCUGGAGAUUUACUUUCCCAUCGUGAAUUGUGGGGACUUUUACACUAGUUCUUUGUUAUAAGAUGUAACCAGUCUCAGAAAAUGGUCAAUUUCAGAAAACCCACACUCUACUUGUUGAGACGAAAUAUAGGCCCUAGAUUGAAUCGAUGUUCUGCCAUAUACAAUUUGUUGGAAACCCAUAAUAAAGCCGUUUAUCAUUAAUCCUUUGUAAGUUUCAAUUCAGUGACAACAAGUGAAUGUCGUCCGAAAAGGGAGUAGAUAGCCCUGGCAUCAAUCAGUCAAAUUUGGUGAUACGCCCAUAUUUCUUUGUUCCUUGACAACGUAUUGAUUCACGUUGAAGUUUGAUCUGAAAAUCUUAAAUAUCACCUUUUGAGCGUUUGACCAAUCAGGUUUUCCUGGGUUUCACAGAAAUUUUGUUUUUCCAAUUUGUUCCAAUUCCUACCAUCAUAUGUGUCUUUAAAUUGUACCAAAAUAGUACGAUCGCUGGAAAAAGGGGCAAUUGCAAGAACAAGGAGAGUUGUCUUAGAAGACAGUUUGGGACACUCCAGUUUCCUUCAGAAAGCCAUAGAAUAGAGAGCACAGUGCUCAAACCAAAAGUGGUUGGUUCUAAAAUGCUCAAAACGGGGUUGAAGUGGUGAAGAAGUUGGUUCAGAAGCUCAUCUUCAACAGCGAUAAUUGGAGGCAGCGGAGUCCUCAAUCAGCCAAAAGUCAAGAGCUGGAUAUAGUCUCGCCAGUCAACUGCUUUCCAUGCUACUCGAGUCACAAGCCCCAUCAACAGUCUCGCAGUACAGAUCAUCCUUCACGAGAUGGCGACAAUGGGCAGAGUUGCACGGAAUAUCAUCCCUACCCGCAGAUCCUUACAUGGUAGCCUUAUACCUGAUCCAUAUUGGAACUCUGCAACAUCACCAUGCACCUACAGUCACAAACUCUUUAGCUGUCAUGUCAUGGGUUCAUCUCAUGGCUAGUUGGGGACCAUGAUACAACCAAAGACCCUCUGGUGUCAUACACCGCGCUAUAGGUCUGACAAGAACACUGGUUAAGCCAAAGAAAGAUCCAAUUACACCAGAUAUUCUUUCUGAGAUAGUGCCAAAAUAGGGUAAAGACCGUUCAGUACACAUCUUAUUUCAUAUAAGAAUCCUGGUCAAGGCCCUUAUUUCAUAUACCGGGUCUUAUCGGCUCAGUGAGUUAGCCGCACUUUAAUUGAAGUAUUUACGUGUUAUCUCAUGCACUCGGCCAUGUGAAUUCAGUUAUUAUUGCGAGGUAAUUAUUAUCAACAUGUACAGUUGCAAUGUUGGAAUUGUAUGUCAAGUGAGUCAAAGUUUUCCCUUCAGAUAAAGACCUUCUUUUGUGUUCAUAAACUUAAACAAAUGUUAAAGAAGAGUAUAAAGUGAUUUCAUAGAGGUAUAAACCGAUGAAGUACUCGAGAGUUUGAGAGGGAAGGUUAGAGUUUUCACAGAGCAGCCCCAUGCUGCUGUUUGAGUCUUAGCGGCUAUCAAAGCAGAUAUCCAACAGGCUGUUCAAGCGUCAUGGACGCCAUAUCAGAGACAGAGAAGGAUACUUUAAUAUAUCCAAGAGAGUGAUUGCAAUAUGAUGUUAAAUAUCUAAAUCCUUUUGGGGAUUCAGCAUUACAGACCCGUUCUUUAUAGUUCAUACCGGUUGCUGCUGCAAGCACAAAUACCAAAAUCAGGAUGAUUUGAUUGUUUAUUGUGUAGAA